rnacentral:rRNA from 1 species
GACGAACGCUGGCGGCGUGCUUAACACAUGCAAGUCGAACGAGAGGCGAACGGGUGAGUAACACGUGGGUGAUCUGCCUUGCAAUCCGGGAUUAGCUUGGGGAACCGGUGCCAAUUCCGGCUAUUGCAAGAUGAGUGCGCGGCCUAUCAGCUUGUUGGUGGGGUAUUGGCUACCAAGGCGCGACGGGUCUCCGGCCUGAGAGGGUGUACGGCCACAUUGGGACUGAGCUACGGCGCAGACGCCUACGGGGGGCAGCAGUGGGGAAUAUUGCACAAUGGGCGGAAGUCUGAUGCAGCGACGCCGCGUGGGGGAUGAAGGCCUUCGGGUUGUAAACUCCUUUCGACAGGGACGCGGUACCUGUAUAAGAAGCACCGGCUAACUACGUGCCAGCCGCCGCGGUAAUAC